rnacentral:rRNA from 1 species
CCUACGGGGGACAGCAGUGAGGAAUAUUGGUCAAUGGGCGAGAGCCUGAACCAGCCAAGUCGCGUGAAGGAUGACGGAUCUAUGGUUUGUAAACUUCUUUUAUAUGGGAAUAAAGUGAGGAACGUGUUCCUUUUUGUAUGUACCAUAUGAAUAAGCAUCGGCUAACUCCGUGCCAGCAGCCGCGGUAAUACGGAGGAUGCGAGCGUUAUCCGGAUUUAUUGGGUUUAAAGGGUGCGUAGGUGGUUAAUUAAGUCAGCGGUGAAAGUUUGUGGCUCAACCAUAAAAUUGCCGUUGAAACUGGUAGACUUGAGUAUAUUUGAGGUAGGCGGAAUGCGUGGUGUAGCGGUGAAAUGCAUAGAUAUCACGCAGAACUCCGAUUGCGAAGGCAGCUUACUAAACUAUAACUGACACUGAAGCACGAAAGCGUGGGGAUCAAACAGGAUUAGAUACCCCUGUAGUC